rnacentral:lncRNA from 1 species
GUGGAUAGAAGGAUGUUGGUAAGCCUCUGUUUGGAUCUAGAGAGAAGAGUGUGAGUCCUGUGGGGCUCUCAGUUACCAUGUGAGAAAUUCAUUUCUUAAUUUGUGGAAUACUAGCUCAGGAAGAAUAAUGUAAAAGAAUAACACGUCUGAGCUUCUGGUCACCUUUUCAUAUUCACCAUGCUUAUAGGCUUAUUUUGGUCAUAGUAGAAGGCAGUAAAACCCUUGAGGAAAUAGACAAGCAAACAACAACAACAAAAAACAAUAACAACAACAAAAAAAUGCAUUUUUUUUCUAAGAAGAGAGAAGGGGAAUCACUAACAAUACUGAAUUUCUUAGGUAAUUUUGGCAGCUAAUGGAGACAGUUAUUGAGGAAGGCUGAAUGCACUCUGAGUCUGGAAUGUGGAAGUGUGGACAAUUCUGCAGAGCAGGCCUACAGUGGAGGAGCACAGGAAAAUCUUCAACACAGGAAAAAAUUGUGGACCACCUACUUAAGGAGGAAUUCCAAAGACUUGCUGUACAACAUAGUACCUAUAGUCAAUAAUAUAGUAUUGUGUGCUUUAAAAUAUGUUAAGAAAAUAGGUCUCAUGUAAAGUGUUCUUACCAAAAAACAAACAAACAAACAAACAAAAACCACAAGGAAAUUUGUGGAGGUGAGAGACAUUUAGUACCUUGAUUGUGGUGAUGGUGUCAUGAGCUCAUCCAUCUGUCGAAUUUCAUCAAACUGUGCGCAUUAAAUAUGUACAAUUUUGUGUAUCAAGUAUUUUUCAAUACAGCUAAAAAUAUGUACUUUAUUUAUAAAAAACAUACGUUUUUUUUAGUACAGAACAUUGAAUAGUUUUAACAAAGAAGGCAUCUAUGGCUGGACAAGAGGAAGUUCUCAACCCUCCCUAAGCCAUUGAUUAUCCACACACUGUGACCUCUUCUCUCCGGGGUUAUGUUCUCAUUUAUUUAAUAUGAGGGAAGGAAGGUCAUUCUCUCAAACUCGUGUAGAUUUUCACAACAGCUUAGUGAUUUAUGUUAUACAAAUAUAAUCUUUUAACCAUCAAUUAUGAUAUAUAUUUUUCUUAAUG